rnacentral:rRNA from 1 species
AGAGUUUGAUCAUGGCUCAGAAUCAACGCUGGCGGCGCGCUUAACACAUGCAAGUCGCACGAGAAAGCAGGAGCAAUCCUGCAAGUACAGUGGCGUACGGGUGAGUAACACGUGGGUGAUCUACCCUUUAGUGGGGAAUAACGCUGGGAAACCGGCGCUAAUACCGCAUAAGCUCGAGAGAGGAAAGCAGCAAUGCGCUGAAGGAGGAGCCCGCGGCCGAUUAGCUAGUUGGUAGGGUAAGAGCCUACCAAGGCAUAGAUCGGUAGCCGGCCUGAGAGGGCACACGGCCACACUGGCACUGAAACACGGGCCAGACUCCUACGGGAGGCAGCAGUGGGGAAUCUUGCACAAUGGGGGCAACCCUGAUGCAGCGACGCCGCGUGAGCGAUGAAGCCCUUCGGGGUGUAAAGCUCUUUCGUCAGGGACGAUAAUGACGGUACCUGGAGAAGCAGCUGCGGCUAACUACGUGCCAGCAGCCGCGGUAAUACGUAGGCAGCGAGCGUUGUUCGGAGUUACUGGGCGUAAAGGGUGUGUAGGCGGUUUUCUAAGUUUGGUGUGAAAUCUCCCGGCUCAACCGGGAGGGUGCGCCGAAAACUGGGAGACUAGAGUGCGGGAUGGGAGAGUAGAAUUCCUGGUGUAGCGGUGAAAUGCGUAGAUAUCAGGAGGAAUACCGGUGGUGUAGACGGCUCUCUGGACCGCCACUGACGCUGAGACACGAAAGCGUGGGUAGCAAACAGGAUUAGAUACCCUAGUAGUCC